GUCAUCUCGCAGAAGCAGCACACAUGUUUAGGGUACGUAAUAGUUACCAUUGAGACUGCUUCGGGAAGGUCUGAUUGUGAGACGAAGUCGGUUCCUCGAGGAACACGCUCUAAAAGGGCGGUCCUGUACACGGGAUGCGGUGAAACCAGAAACAGCGGCCGAUUCGGGCUUUUCUUUACCGUGGACGCCAGAUUGCCGUCUCCCGCUCUGUCCCUCCAUCCGUUCUUGUUCUCUGUCUCCCUCCGUUGCUCCGUCUUCGUCAAUCCUAUGUUUCUUCUCUUUCAUCCGAUCUCCGUCCAUCUCCAACUCUGCAACUCCGUUUCGUUCUUCGUGGAUACAUCAGAGUGCGGUGAGGCGGAGGGGAAGCUCUGGCAGAGGUCGUCCGGUCAUGCCGAUGGAAAUUCCCGCGACUCGCGAUUUCAGCACAAUCUGCAAGCCGCCUCGCCGCAAGCGGGACGGAACUCAAUUCAGACUACUCUGAC
rnacentral:RNase_P_RNA from 2 species